AGAGUUUGAUCCUGGCUGAGGAUGAACGCUAGCGGCACGCUUCAUACAUGCAAGUCGAGGGGCAGCAUAAAGUACUUGUACUUUGAUGGCGACCGGCGAACGGGUGCGUAACGCGUAUGCAACUUACCUUUUACUAGAGAAUAGCCAAGAGAAAUUUUGAUUAAUGCUCUAUACUCUUAUUAACUCACAUGGAUUUAUAAGAAAAGCUCCGGCGGUAAAAGAUGGGCAUGCGUCCUAUUAGCUUGUAGGUGAGGUAACGGCUCACCUAAGCUCCGAUAGGUAGGGGUCCUGAGAGGGAGAUCCCCCACACUGGUACUGAGACACGGACCAGACUUCUACGGAAGGCAGCAGUAAGGAAUAUUGGACAAUGGAGGCAACUCUGAUCCAGCGAUGCCGCGUGAAGGAAGACGGCCCUAUGGGUUGUAAACUUCUUUUAUACAGGAAGAAAUCUUUCCACGUGUGGAAAGUUGACGGUACUGUAAGAAUAAGGAUCGGCUAACUCCGUGCCAGCAGCCGCGGUAAUACGGAGGAUCCAAGCGUUAUCCGGAAUUAUUGGGUUUAAAGGGUCCGCAGGCUGUUUGUUAAGUCAGGGGUGAAAUCCUACCGCUCAACGGUAGAACUGCCUUUGAUACUGGCAAACUUGAGUUAUUGUGAAGUAGUUAGAAUGUGUAGUGUAGCGGUGAAAUGCAUAGAUAUUACACAGAAUACCGAU
rnacentral:rRNA from 1 species